rnacentral:misc_RNA from 1 species
UCACACCUUACGGUGGCAGUCUCACUAGAGUCCUCAGCUUAACCUGUUAGUAACUAAUGAUAGGGGUUGCGCUCGUUAUGGCACUUAAGCCGACACCUCACGGCACGAGCUGACGACAACCAUGCAGCACCUACACAGAGACCAUUGCUGGCGGACAAGUUUCCUCGUCAUUCCUCUGCAUUUCAAGCCCGGGUAAGGUUCCUCGCGUAUCAUCGAAUUAAACCACAUGUUCCUCCGCUUGUGCGGGCCCCCGUCAAUUCCUUUGAGUUUCAUUCUUGCGAACGUACUCCCCAGGUGGAAUACUUAACGCUUUCGCUUUGCCACAUACAGUAUAUCGCAUACAGCUAGUAUUCAUCGUUUACUGCGUGGACUAC